rnacentral:tRNA from 1 species
GGUAAAAUGGCUGAGAAAAAAGCAUUAGACUGUAAAUCUAAGCACAGAGGUGACUAUUCCUCUUUUUACCA